rnacentral:rRNA from 1 species
GAAUACAUGGAUAACGUACCCCGGACACAGGGAUAGCGGCGUCUCCCGAGCAAUCGGGCGACUUUGUGAAAGUGCCGGUAAUACCUGACGACCCCGCAGUGUCGCAUGGCACAGCGGGCAAAUGCUCCGACGGUCUGGGAGCGGUUCAUGUCCUAUCAGCUUGUUGGUGGGGUAACGGCCCACCAAGGCGACAACGGGUAGCGGGCGUGAGAGCGCGUCCCGCCACAUCGGAACUGAGACACUGUCCGGACACCUACGGGUGGCUGCAGCAACGAAUAUUCCCCAAUGGACGCAAGUCUGAGGGAGCGACGCCGCGUGCAGGAAGAAGUCCCUCGGGAUGUAAACUGCUGUCAGGGGUGAGGAAUCAAUGACCAACCCCAAAGGAAGCACCGGCUAACUCCGUGCCAGCAGCCGCGGUAAUACGGAGGGUGCAAGCGUUGUUCGGAAUUACUGGGCUUAAAGCGCGUGCAGGCGGAAUAUCAGGUGCCAUGUGAAAGCCCCGGUCUCAACCCGGGAACUGCCUGGCAAACCGGUAUUCUUGAGGCAAGUAGAGGUGAGUGGAACAACUGGUGGAGCGGUGAAAUGCGUAGAUAUCAGUUGGAACGCCGGAGGCGAAAGCGGCUCACUGGGCUUGUUCUGACGCUGAGACGCGAAAGCGUGGGUAGCAAACAGGAUUAGAUACCCUGGUAGUCCACGCCGUAA